AUGUAUCAUCAAGAACAAUGGCAAAUAGUACUGAGAAAAAGAAACAGCCCGUUUAAUAUGUAAGGAGACAUCGUAGGAAAUAAUCAGAACUUAAAUGUGUAAAUAUCAUGAACAUGCCCAGCAGAACAAUAGCUUAGCCAUCAAUGUAUUGAGGAGCCUUAACUAAGGUGAUAGCCCAUCACUCUAAAAGAUGUGCUCAACUCAUGUCCAAAUCUGGAAUGCAAGUCGCUUUAUCGAAAGAGAAAAAAGAGAAAAAAACUGAUGCAUUCACUAUUCAAACAGAGGCACAAUCCAAUAUAGCAAUUCCCACAAUUUCUGCAUGCUUAUCACCAUUUAAACAUAUGAGGCACAAUUCUCGUUCCUGCCCUCGCUAUAGGGAAGCUUUUACUCUUUUCCACAGAGUUAACUUCACUAAAAUAUGCUACAGAACAAAAACAUAAAGAAAUCAAUAAGGAUUUCCAGUAGCAGUGCAACUCACCAGAAAAUGGGACCUCAGGCAGCCUAAAUCUUGGGAACCUCCACUUACAUACUCUCUUCAGCCAAGAUCAUAGUUGUCUUGUGCAUCAGACAUAUAUUCCUGAAAGUAUAAUGUAUUUAAGGAAUACAUAAAAUAAGUUUUGAAACAUCUAGCACUUUGAUGUUACAGAUUUUGAUUUGUAUAAAAGAUACUUCUUCAGUUCUUUUUAUAAGGUGAAACGUAUAAAGGAACUCUUACUCAAUGUAAAAUAUUUUAAAAGAAAGGCACAAUAGAAAGAUUAGAAAACCAAUAGAGGUACCACUGCAGAAUCAACAAAUACAAAGAGUUUCUCCACUGAAAAACUAAAAAACUUUUUGCCAAUUCUCCCGUUAAAAGCUUGUUUACAGGCAAAUGUUGGCGGAAGUACCGAACCAUAAUGUCAUCAUUGCCAUGACAAGUACCAUAUGAGUUGGUAAUAGUUAAAAUCACUUUGAGUUAUUUCAUAAGAAGUUUCGUCAAAAAGAUAACAAUACAUAUAGGUAUCUCAUACUAUAAGAUUCUUAUAGGCAUUUUCUAUGAUAACAUACCCUUUUGAAUAACAUACUUACUCUUACACCAUAAUCAUGUAUAACAAAUCAUUAUAAUGCAUUGCCUAUCUAUGCAUAUAGCAGACUUUCUAUGCAUUUAAGAACUUAGUCAUCUUAUAUUUGCAGUACGAUUCUUUUUGGUGUAUAUACUAAUCGAACAUUUUCUUUCAUUAAUAUAAAAACAAAUCAAAGUGCCGUACAAUCUAAAACCAAACUUCAUUUUGAAAGACAAAAACAUCACCGCAAAAUUCCCCCUUGACAUUAAGAAUCAAAAGUACACAUGAUCAAAGAAGUAUAACACGUUAAUCAACAUUUUUGGUGUAAGAUACUAAAUCAAGCUUCCUUUUAUUCCUCUGUUCCGUCACUGCACAUGUUAAAAUUAAAAUUCAAACGCCAUAAUAUAAUUUUUAUCUAAUAGUAUUGAAGUCAUAGCCAAGAAAGGCGGGAAGUUUAGAGAUAUAACGAAGCCUCUCUCAUAUAAGUCUUCUGUGAGCACAAGCAUGUACCAUUAUCAACAUCAAAAAAAAAGUUUGAUCUGAAAAUGCUAAACUAUGUCUACAUUUUAUAUUAAAGACAACUAUAUAAACUACGAAAAGAAGCUUUGGAAAAGAAUUGUUAGUUGAAGCAAGAGUUUAAGAGUUUAGAUGAUUCAGAAACACAUUUAACCUCAAAUUAACAUUUAAAUUGAAGCACUGCGUGGAGAGAAUUAAGCUUGCAAUGAUAAUAGACAAGAAAACUAAGAGCAUUAAGUGAUCGGUAGCGUAUUAUAUAAACAUAUACUAUUUAUUAUUUUAAAUAGUAUACUUUAUAACUACAUAUGCUACGUGGUUGUUAAUUUCAUAUGCUAAAGAUUCAAGUUCUCUUCUCAAUAGAUACAACAACAACAACCCAGUAAAAUCUCACUAAUGGGGUCUGGGGAGGGUAGUGUGUACGCAAGCCUUACCCCUACCCCGAAGGAGUAGAGAGGCUGUUUUCGAAAGACCCUCGGCUCAAAAAAAAGAAGACAAAAGGACAAAAAGGAGACAAUAUUAGUAUCACAACAACAAUCAUAAGAUAAAUAGAAACACCAUGAAAUCCAGAAGAAGGAUGCAAAGCAAAGGGAGACAAUAUUAGUAAAUAUUAGUAUCACCACAAUAAUCAUAAGAACAAUAGGAACAUCAUGAAAUCUAGAAGAAAGAUGCAAAGAAAAAGCGAUAGCUAGUAAAUAGGACAUGCACUGAAAAGUGAAAUAGUAAGCCACAACAUUGCCACUAGCUAUCUUAGACAAAAACCAUACAUGGCUAGUCCCACAAUGGUAUGAAGUAAAGCACGACUCAACUACCUCCUAACCUACAACCCUAAUACUCGACUUCCACAUCUUCCUAUCUAGUGUCAUGUCCUCGAAAAUCUGGAGUCUCGCCAUAUCCUGCCUGAUCACCUCUCCCCAAUACUUCUUAGGCCGCCCUCUACCUCUUCUCGUUCCCUCCACAACCAGCUGCUCACACCUCCGUACCGGAGCAUCUAGGCUUCUCCUCUGAACAUGUUUGAACUAUCUAAGCCUCGCUUCCCACCUUUUGUCAUCAAUGGGAGCCACAUGCACCUUCUCCCGAAUAUCAUCAUUCCUAAUCUUAUCUAUCAUAGUGUGCCCGCACAUCCACCACAACAUCCUCAUUUCUGCUACUUUCAUCUUCUGGAUAUGUGAGUUCUUAACGGGCCAACACUCAGCCCCAUACAUCAUAGCCGGUCUAACCACCGCUUUAUAAAACUUACCUUUGAGUAUCGGUGGCACUCUCUUGUCACACAGGACUCCGGAUGCUAACCUCUACUUCAUCUAUCCUACCCCAAUACGGUGUGUGACAUCCUCGUCGAUCUCCCCUCCCUGGAUAACCGAACCAAGGUACUUAAAGCUGCCUCUUCUCGGGAUGACCUGCGAAUCAAGCCUCACAUCCACGCCCACUUCCCCUAGCUCAGCGCUGAACUUACACUCCAGGUANNNNNNNNNNNNNNNNNNNNNNNNNAUGGCACAUCCCCUUGAAUAUGGUGUGUUAGCGCGUCCAUCACCAGAGCGAAUAAGAACGGACUGAGCGCAGAACCUUGGUGUAACUCCUCCUACUAUCCUAACCCGAGUCUUAGCCCCAUCAUACAUGUCCUUAAUCGCCAUAAUGUACGGAACCGACACACCUUUUGCCUCUAGGCAUCUCCAGAGAAUUUCUCUAGGAACCUUGUCAUACGCUUUCUCUAGGUCAAUAAACACCAUGUGCAGAUCCUUCUUCCUCUCUCUGUAUAGUUCCACCAACCUUCUAACAAGGUGUAUAGCUUCUGUAGUCGAACGACCCGGCAUGAACCCGAACUGAUUGUCGGAUAUAGACACUGUCAUCCUCACCCUCGCUUCAACCACCCUCUCCCACACUUUUAUGGUAUGACUCAGUAAUUUGAUACCCCUAUAAUUGUUACAACUCUGGAUAUCACCUUUGUUCUUAUAAAAUGGAACCACGGUACUCCACCUCUACUCAUCCGGCAUCCUCUUCCCCUUAAAAAUAAUAUUAAACAACCUAGUCAACCACUCCAAACCUGCUCUCCCCACACACUUCCAAAAUUCCACCGAAAUGUCGUCUGGCCCGAUUGCUCUGCCCCUAAUCAUCUUAUGCAUAGCUCCCACGAACUCCUCAACCUCGAUACGCCUGCAGUACCCAAAGUUACGGUGACUCUCGGAAUGCUCCAAUUCGCCUAGCACAAUAUCCCGAUCCCCUUCUUCAUUCAAAAGUUUAUGAAAGUAAGUCUGCCAUCUCCUCUUAAUCUAGGCAUCUUCCAUUAAUACUCUACCAUCUUCGUCCUUGAUGCAUCUCACUUGGUCCAAAUCCCGAUCCUUCCUCUCUCUCAACUUGGCCAGCCGGAAUAACUUCUUCCUCCCCACCUUUUUUCCCCAAUUCCCCGUACAUACGACCAUAAGUCGCAGUCUUAGCCUCUGUGACCGCCAGCUUAGCCUCCUUCCUAGCUGUCUUAUACCUCUCCAUGCACACUCGCCUCUCCUCCUCACCUAUGCUCUCAACUAACUUCAGGUACGCCGCCUUCUUUGCUUCCACUUUACCUUGGACCACUUUAUUCCACCACCAGUCUCCUUUGUGCCCACCAGAGACGCCCGUCGAGACCCCUAGCACCUCUCUUGCAGCCUCCCUAAUACAGUCUGCUGUCGCUGACUACAUAGUGCUCGCGUCACCACUGCUCCUCCAAGCUCCCAUAGCCAACAACCGCCCCUCCAACGCUUGGGCUUUAUCCUUAGUUAAGGCUCCCUACCUGAUUCUCGGUCUUUCUCGAGUAGACCUUUUCCUCCUCUUUAACAUAAUACCAACGUCCACCACCAAGAGCCUAUGUUGCGUCUUGAGUAUCCCACUCGGAAUCACCUUGCAAUUCUUGCACAACCCUCUGUCACAUCUCUUCUCAAUAGAUAUAAAAGAAAAUCUGAAAUAAAGCUCUAAUACUUUUAUAAUCUUGAAGCAGGAAUCAACUUCAGAUUCGGAAAACAGAUAUAAUGUAUCAUCUCUUACUAUAUCAGAUUUAUGCUUCAGCUUUAUUCCCAUGUUCCAUGUUUUAGAAAGGAAUUGUACUCAUACCUUAUGAUAGGAAAACCCCCAGUUCCUGUGCGGACAUGAAUUAUCCAUAGAGAAAAUCUUGUUCAAUCGAUGAUUAACUCCAAAAACUUUAAUUAGAGAAUAAACAAAUACCUCAAGAACCAAGAGCAAAGGAAAAGUUCGUAAUACCUCUAAAGAGCCUUAUAUCAUGUAUGGCGCUGCUCAAAUUCACAGCUUGUACUUCUGUGAAGUAUAGCAAUGCAUUGGCCUUUCAAUGUGUCAUGCUUUUCCCUGAUAAACUGAAUCAGACAUUGCCAUCGCUGCUGCAAUUUCAGAAGAUCUGUGCUCCAAGAUACGUAUGCCUACAUUCGAUUAAAUAUACAGGAUUAAACACUCUAAAGAUCUUUCGAUCAAAUGUAACAAUAGAAAUCGGCUCAACAUAUCGCGAGACUCAAAGUAAGGUGAGGCAUUUUAUUAUAUAAUACAUAGUAGAGUUACAUCACAUAGAUCAUGAAACAUGCAUGUAGAAAGUAAAAUGAUACAGAUGCACCCUCCUUAUCAACCUGUAACAGAGAAAAGCUAGUUGUUUGGGUCAUAUCAUCAAGCACCUUGGCUGCAUCAGUGUGCCAAAGGAAUCCAGUUGCUCUAAAAAUUAGAGUUUGUAUUCAUCAAUUUUACAGAAUCAUACAUCUAGGCAUAUAUUCCAAACAUGCAUGAGCAGGUCUAUGUAGAUAUGCAAAAAUUAAUACUAAAAAUAUUAUGGCUAAAUUUUCUCUUUCACCUUUCAAAUGCAGCAUAAACAUGCAUAUUAAGACUGAAUAAGAGCAAAGCUUUUUAUAGAAAGAAUUAGUUGCAAAGAAGAUAUCAAGAUGCAAGUGAGAGGGAAAGGGAGAAGAUAUAAAGAUGUAAGUGAGAGAGAAAGGGAGAGUAAUAAUAGAAAGAACAGAGAAUGAAAAAGAACGG
rnacentral:lncRNA from 1 species